UUUCGUCCAUUCCUUUAGUUCCAAGCAUGUGAUAUUUAUUCCAAGCCCAAAAUUGCUCCAAAAUGCACAUUUUUGCAUAUUUUGUCCUUAGAACCUGAAAUUGUACAAAAAUGACUUUAAACACUAAAACUACUAAGGAAUAACGACAUAAAUGCAUGAGAACAAGCUAACUCAGUCGCAUAAAUAUGCUCCUAUCACUCACCAGGAAGUACUGUCAAAGGUGAAAAUGAGAAAAGGGUGGUUGGUUUGUGGUCUCGUCUCUGAACGAGUUUAUGAGAUUUUGUCAGAGAAAAAGAUUGUGUCUCUGUGUGGGUUUUUCAGAUCUACGAUGGACAGUGGUGAGGUUGUGAAGGUUUCACGGUGGUGAGAUGAAAAUUUGAAAGAGAACUGACAUAGCUUUUCGUGUCGAUUCCCACAGACGGCACCAAAUGUUAAUGCACAAAACCGGAGGUCUUGGAACAACGUAAAUCCGAUCGUGAAUCUACAAGAAAUGUAAAUAACACAAGAUGUAUCGUGGUUCACCCUAAGGUUUGGGCUACGUCCACACUGAUAUUGUAUUUCUGAGAGGAUUGUGAGGGAGAAAGUGUGAGAGCCUCUGUAAUGAGAAUGAGGCUCUGAGAGGGGGUGAGAGGGCCUAGGAAUUGGCCUCUCCUAAUUGUGAGGGUGAGGAGUCCUUUUAUAGAAUAAGGGCUCAUCACUUAUUACAUAUUUUUCCCUUCCUUUAUUACAUAAUUACAUUUAAGUUCCCCGAGUAAUUGUACGAGAUCUAAAUACAGAGGCCCUAAAUAUGGUACAAACAAAGUUAAAACGCACAUUUUUCACCAAUAUCCCCCACAUUGCUCAAUUACUUAAACAAGGCUAUUGUCUCGAUUAUAUAAUCUCAUUUCUUAUGUGGCUGCAUCUAACGUCUCGUUAGACUGCCUACAUACCUUAAACAGGGAUCAAGCCAUUCCUAGUUCGCAAUAAUCAUUUAUAGUAAUAUGCAUAUGGAUAUAUCACGAUGAAAUCUAAACUCAACCAUCUCAUAGUAUUUUAUAACAUAUAAAUAUAUAUAUAUGUCAUGGCAUAAAUUUCUCAGUUUUAUUUAAAAGCAUUUAUAGAAUUAUCAAUCAUGAAAAAUAUGUUAAGCAAGGAAAGAUCCACUCACCUGGAGUCCGCGCCACAACUUCCUAGCACAAACAUCGAGGCGUCACAAACGAUCGGCGCCAGUGACCAAGGCCAAUUUGGCUUGGAAAUGCUCCAAUUUCAUCAAAACGCGUCGGAACCCUAGAAUUGGGUGUGCUUCAAUUCGACCUCCAACGUGUUCCGACAACUCCACCACUGAUUAGGCUUUGUUCUUGGGUUCUAGGGGAGUCUAAUGGUGGUAGCAAUUUGCUGGAUUACCUUCAUGAUCGUUGGAUUUUUCCACGGCACCCUCGGAACCCAUAGUUUCGUUCUACUCGAAUUCAAGCUCAAAUCCUAUAAAAUUUGAUUGGGAAUGGAAGAGGAAAGGACUAGGGGAUGAUUAGGAAUGGUUUCUUGGUCCAAAUUUGUGAGAAAUCAGGUGAAAACCCACUGGAAAAUAUGGAGAAUUGUAUUAGGUGUACACGGGUCACGGGUUGGGAACCCUGUUUCCCCAUUUUUUCCCCAUUCUCCACUCUCCCUCCUUUCCCUCCUCGCUUCUGCUUCUGAUUGGGCAGUCUUCUCUCUUCCUCUCCUCUGAUUAGGCAGCAGCCCUUUCCUCUGUUCUCUCUACCGUCCCCCCAUUCUUCUUAUUCUUCCUCAACUAUUUUUAAAAUCACUAAAUGAUAAACAAAAUAUAUUAUUAUAAAAAUGUAUAAAAUAUAUAAAUAGCAACUAAACAAAAGUACUUCUCGGUUUUAUAAUUCUGUAGCGUCGAGUACUUCAAGAAAACGCUAAGUAUUAAUUCAUACACCUCGCUAUACGUUGGUCAACGGAUGUCAAGACCCUCGCCUCUAAAGGCAUUUUCGUAAAAUCACACUUUUAAAUUUUGUAAAAAAAAGUGUAAGAUUUGGGAUGGGUUGUCUCAAUCUACCCACCUUAAAGAAUUUCAUCCCCGAAAUUUAAAAUCAUUAGCUAAACGUAAUGUACUCCAUAAGAUAGGAAGCAAUAUAUACCUACAUACAUGGAAAGAGGAAAUCAAGCUAGAGCGAUAACAUAACAGAGAAUGUCAUUAUGUCAUGAUCGGAACGUAAUUAUUCUUCUUUCAUGCUUUCAAGCUCAAACCUUCUUUCUCUUUAUAGGUAUGAUAUUGCUAUAUAAUAGAUGGAAAAAUGAUUUUCCUCAAAAAUAAUCAACACCCAAAAUACCACUUUCAUGGCCCUAUGGUGUUAUUUUCGGGAAACUAAAGUGACCAACAUACCCAAAAGGCUCAACGAAUUCGUAAGUCCAAAUUCCUCUUUCAAACAGAUAAAUAACUGUUGCACUUGUCUAGAAAGAUUUAUGUUCACUCAUGGGGUUUUGAUCACCGGCGCACGCUCCCGCCAAAUCGAUCUAUUAUGAAGCCCUCACUAAUUGAGCAAAAAAUCAUGUUGAGAAGGUUAAAAGAACACUCAAGAAAUUGAGGGUCAAAACAUGUUCAUGAAAUCUAGAGUAUGAGAUAUAUGGUCUAAAUAUACAAUUUUCAUAUCUAAGUGGUCUUCCUGGACAGUUUGUCCCUAUCCAAAAUGAUAUGGGAAAUAGGCUAGUGACUCUAAAUCAACCCAAUUACCUUUAAUACCAGGAGGUGAAACUGGGGGUAUAAACAUAACAGGGGCAGACUAAUAUAUCAAAGAGUCAAACAAACAAUGAAUUAUGUCGAAAGACUAAACAACUCCGUUGUGGUCUUAGGCCAAAAGUUACAAGGUCAAAUUUAAGAAUGAGCUAACAAGGUUCUUGAUGAUCGAAUGGCAACAUCACAAAAGUAUUAAACUACUAGAGACCGAAAGUAAUUUCCCAAAAUGUUAUUCCGCCGAGUGUUCCCACAUUAGCACCACAUUGCCACAAGAGACAUUUCCUGAGUCUUAAUAAAAAUAGACUUCGUAAGAAUUCUAUUAGGUGAUAUUCUAACAAUACUACCAAGAAAUUAAAACUAGCUGAAAUUUCCAAUCUCAAAAGGAUCACUAUUAACGGGGGAAGAAUAAUGAUAAAAUUAAUUGACAAGAAGUGAAACACGUAAUACACGAAGAUGAUAACCUUGUUGGGUUUCUGAUUGCUUGAACUUGUAUAAAGAUCUAGAAGCCAUUUUCUCAUAAUGCCAUCAUCCUCCAAAGUAAACAAAAGAAGUUGUGGUUAUUCAGUUUGUUUGGACCUUCUUUCCUCAACAUCCUUCCACUCUAACCUAAGGUGAGACUCCUCGAUUGAAAAUUCUCUUCCAUCAUCUCACGUGGAAUCUCAAUCUUUAUUUCUGUUUUAGUUCCACAUUUGAUCAUGUCCCACGGUAAAAUUAACAACACCCCACCUUAUAUCUUAGUUGUUUUCACCAGUGUCUUGUUUGUUGAGAUUUCAAAGCCCAUUUUUUAGAAAAUAAACCCUCGCCAAUACUUUAAGCUUUGAGGCUGGAAUAAUACUGUUUUCCACUCAAGUAAAGCUACCACCAAUUGAACAACACAUGAGCAUAGCAUUUGUUUAGCAUCAUAAUUAUUGGUUUUCACAUUCUCAAUACAUACAAAAUAUUUCGUACUGAAAGUUGUAUAAUGGUACUUCCCAACUCCAUUCAUAUGACAAAUGAUUAUAAUCAUUCAAACCAUUUCUCGAUAGGUUAAAGAUAAUUCCAUAUCGAUACUCGUAUUUUCCAACUGAAACAGAAUAGGACAAACUGAAAGUAUUCGAGAGUAAUUAUGUCCUUCUCAUACAACCGGAAAGAUACCCUAUAGUUGAUAGGAGCAUAUUUAUGCGACUUAGUUGGCUUGUUCUUGUGCAUUUAUGUCGUGUUUCCUUAGUUAUUUUAAUGUUUAAAGUCAUUUUCGUGUGUUUUCAGAUUUUAUGGACAAAGUAGGCAAGAAGAUGCAUUUUGGAGCAAAAUGGAGCUUGGAAUGCAUGUCACAUAUUUGGGCCAAAGUGGAUGGACGAAUUUGAGAACUAAAGAGGCCAAGAAUGUGAAGAAUUAUGGUCCAAAAGAUGAAGAACUCAGACCAAAAAUUUGUCACCCCAACUUGCCUUCAUUGCCAUGCAAAACAACAUAGAAUUCCCUUUG
rnacentral:lncRNA from 1 species